UACAGAGGUCCCGAGCGUUGUUCGGAUUCACUGGGCGUAAAGGGUGCGUAGGUGGUGAGGUAAGUCGGAUGUGAAAUCUCCAGGCUCAACCUGGAAACUGCAUUGGAAACUACCUUGCUGGAGGAUUUGAGGGGGGAUUGGAAUACUUGGUGUAGCAGUGAAAUGCGUAGAUAUCAAGUGGAACACCAGUGGCGAAGGCGAAUCCCUGGAAAAUACCUGACACUGAGGCACGAAAGCUAGGGGAGCAAACAGG
rnacentral:rRNA from 1 species